rnacentral:rRNA from 4 species
AGUCAUAUGCUUGUCUCAAAGAUUAAGCCAUGCAUGUCUCAGUACAAGCCAAAUUAAGGUGAAACCGCGAAAGGCUCAUUAAAUCAGUUAUGGUUCCUUAGAUCGUACCCACACUUACUUGGAUAACUGUGGUAAUUCUAGAGCUAAUACAUGCAAAUAGAGCUCCGACCGGAGACGGAAGGAGCGCUUUUAUUAGAUCAAAACCAAUCGGUGGCGGUUCGCCGUCACCGUACUCCUUGGUGACUCUGAAUAACUUGUUGCUGAUCGCACGGUCUCGAACCGGCGACGCAUCUUUCAAAUGUCUGCCUUAUCAACUGUCGAUGGUAGGUUCUGCGCCUACCAUGGUUGUAACGGGUAACGGGGAAUCAGGGUUCGAUUCCGGAGAGGGAGCCUGAGAAACGGCUACCACAUCCAAGGAAGGCAGCAGGCGCGCAAAUUACCCACUCCCGGCACGGGGAGGUAGUGACGAAAAAUAACGAUACGGGACUCAUCCGAGGCCCCGUAAUCGGAAUGAGUACACUCUAAACCCUUUAACGAGGAUCAAUUGGAGGGCCAGUCUGGUGCCAGCAGCCGCGGUAAUUCCAGCUCCAAUAGCGUAU